rnacentral:rRNA from 1 species
UACGAAGGGGACUAGCGUUGUUCGGAAUUACUGGGCGUAAAGCGCACGUAGGCGGAUUUGUAAGUCAGGGGUGAAAUCCCGGGGCUCAACCUCGGAACUGCCUUUGAUACUGCAAGUCUCGAGUCCGAUAGAGGUGGGUGGAAUUCCUAGUGUAGAGGUGAAAUUCGUAGAUAUUAGGAAAGAACACCGAGGCGGAGGAGGCCGACCCGUCGGUCGUGA